rnacentral:rRNA from 1 species
GAUGAACGCUCGCGGCAGGCCUAACACAUGCAGGUCGAGGGGUAGAAGGAGCUUGCUCCUUUGAGACCGGCGCACGGGUGCGUAACGCGUAUGCAAUCUACCUUGUACAGGGGAAUAGCCCAGAGAAAUUUGGAUUAAUGCCCCAUAGUAUAUAACCUUCGCAUGUUGGUUAUAUUAAAGUUCCAACGGUACAAGAUGAGCAUGCGUCCCAUUAGUUAGUUGGUAAGGUAACGGCUUACCAAGACGAUGAUGGGUAGGGGUCCUGAGAGGGAGAUCCCCCACACUGGUACUGAGGCACGGACCAGAAUCCUACGGGAGGCAGCAGUGAGGAAGAUUGGUCAAUGGUCGCAAGACUGAACCAGCCAUGCCGCGUGCAGGAAGACGGCCCUAUGGAUUGUAAACUGCUUUUAUACAGGAAGAACCCCUCCCACGUGUGGGAGCUUGACGGUACUGUAGGAAUAAGGAUCGGCUAACUCCGUG